CAGCAGUGGGGGAAUAUUGCACAAUGGGCGCAAGCCUGAUGCAGCCAUGCCGCGUGUGUGAAGAAGGCCUUCGGGUUGUAAAGCACUUUCAGUCGUGAGGAAGGUGGUAGUGUUAAUAGCACUAUCAUUUGACGUUAGCGACAGAAGAAGCACCGGCUAACUCCGUGCCAGCAGCCGCGGUAAUACGGAGGGUGCGAGCGUUAAUCGGAAUUACUGGGCGUAAAGCGCAUGCAGGUGGUUUGUUAAGUCAGAUGUGAAAGCCCGGGGCUCAACCUCGGAAUUGCAUUUGAAACUGGCAGACUAGAGUACUGUAGAGGGGGGUAGGAAUUUCAGGUGUAGCGGUGAAAUGCGUAGAGAUCUGAAGGAAUACCGGUGGCGAAGGCGGCCCCCUCGGACAGAUACUGACACUCAGAUGCGAAAGCGUGGGGAGCAAACAGGAUUAGAUACCCCUGGAG
rnacentral:rRNA from 1 species